CUUUUAUACAGCUGUAAAGAAUCUAUUAUAAAACUUGUGAUUUAUGACUUGUGAGUCUCGUGAUUGGAAUGAUUUAGAACAGAGUCAUGUUUUGUUAUACUAAAAUGACUGUCUUGAACUUCUAUAAAGUUCAAAUGCUAAUCGGAUACUUUUACUUGUACGUAAACGCUGUGAAGGAUAAUAAUAACUGUCAGUGCAACAAAUUGAAUCGACAAUUACUUUUUAGUCCCCGAGAAAGAUAUUGCAUUGUGAAUAAUAUUAAAUUCAAUACAAAUAGCGUAAUAGGGGAGAAAAUAAAGAAAAUGGUUAAAAUUAACGCCGGUACAUAUUUCAUAGGAACGGACAAUCCAGUUUUUGUAGGCGAUGGAGAAGGACCAAAACGCGGAGUAGUAUUAGAUAAUUUUUAUAUAGACAAAUUUGAAGUGAGUAAUAAGGAAUUUAUGACGUUUGUAAAUGCUACUGGUUAUAUUACCGAAGCAGAAAACUUUGGGGAUUCUUUUGUCUUUGAGGGCCUCUUAACACAAACUACAAAAGGCAAAGUCAAUAAAGUAGUUUCUCAAGCUCCUUGGUGGUUACUUGUGAAGCAAACCUCAUGGCAACAUCCAGAAGGUCCCAACUCGAAUAUUACUUUCAGAAUGGAACAUCCUGUUAUUCAUGUUUCCUGGAACGAUGCAGUUGCCUACUGUAAUUGGAAGGAAAUGAGAUUGCCAACUGAAGCAGAAUGGGAAGUUGCAUGUCGUGGUGAACUCUCUGAUAGACUUUAUCCUUGGGGAAAUAAACUAAUGCCAAAGAAUCAACAUAAAGCCAAUAUUUGGCAAGGAAAUUUUCCUACAGAGAAUACUGAAGAAGACGGAUACAAAGGCACAUCACCAGUUACAAUGUUUUCGCAGAAUAGGUAUGGUUUGCAUAAUAUUAUUGGAAAUGUUUGGGAAUGGACAGCGGAUUGGUGGAUAACAAAGCACUCAAGCGAUCGAUUAAUAAAUCCAAUUGGUCCUUCUAGUGGUAGUGACAAAGUGAAGAAAGGUGGCUCAUAUCUAUGUCACCAAACUUAUUGCUACAGAUACAGAUGUGCCGCGCGUAGUCAAAACACACCUGAUACAUCAGCUGGAAAUUUAGGUUUUAGAUGUGCUGUAUCAGCAUAGAUCAUCUCAUCAAAUUUUUUUUCAUACACUUUUGAAAAUUACAUCUAUCAAAUGACGGCCGCCGUUGUCUAUGCACUGAUUGAGUCGAUUUCUGAAGUUUCGCGUCACUCCCUGAAGCAUGUCCACCGGUAUUUCGGCGAUGGCAUUCCGAAUAUUUGUCUUCAGGUGAGCUAGGGUCUGUGGUCGAUCCUUGUAAACGAUAGACCUCAAAUAACCCCAUAAGAAGAAGAUUGGACUGCGAGGAGGAAUAAUGAAGCGCGCUCGAAAGGCACGUUGAGUGGCGACAAUGGAGCGGCCAUUACCAAAGUAUGCCUCUCGUCCAAAGCAUGAUCGAGACUGGCUGUGGGGGGAACAAAAAUUGAGGACCUAUCCUCUCGGACGCGCUCCCUCCCAGCUCCCUACCUUCACCCCUUGCCGUUUGGCGCGUUUUUCAAAAAAUUGAAGUGGAUCUUAGAGCUUAAGGGGUUACGCCUAGUUGGAUAAGCGGAGCUGAAGAUAUUGUGUACACCGUAACUGAUGCUGAAAAAAAGACGUUCUGGAAGAUCGGCGAUAUUUCUGUCAUUUUUUAUUAUUUUUGAAUAAAAAAAUUUGUGAAAGUAUAUUAAAACAUGCAUUUUAAGAUAGCGUUUUGUUACUUUCAAUAAAUAUUCAUUAA